rnacentral:rRNA from 1 species
CGGACGGGUGAGUAAUGUAUGGGGAUCUGCCUGAUGGCGGGGGAUAACUACUGGAAACGGUAGCUAAUACCGCAUAAUGUCUACGGACCAAAGCGGGGGGACCUCCGGGCCUCGCGCCAUCAGAUGAACCCAUAUGGGAUUAGCUUGUAGGUAAGGUAACGGCUUACCUAGGCGACGAUCCCUAGCUGGUCUGAGAGGAUGAUCAGCCACACUGGGACUGAGACACGGCCCAG